rnacentral:lncRNA from 1 species
AUGUGCCCCAGAGGACAGAGUUCCCAUCUCAUGCUGUCAGACUGCCACAUUUCUGCUUUUUUGGAUGAGCGUUGCCUUUGGGAAAGGCUGACUCAUGUGCAAGUGGGGAAAAACCUGCUCAGUGUCCUAAGCCCCUCUCCCACAUCUCCUGUGCAGCCUCUCCCCUGCUCUGCCCCCCUCCUGUCUCCAGAAAUGCCAACAGUGGGGACCAGGGGCACCCAGCAAGUCUCUGCCGAUGCCCCGCGCUCCCACAGAGCUGGUUCCUGUGUCACUGCAGCUUGGUGUCGAUACACAUCACCAAAUCACGCAUCCCCGAGCAGGCUUGGGUCCAUGUCCAGCGCCCGCUGCAAGGCUGGGGUCCUGGGGGAGGACACGCAGCGUGGGUGCCUCGAAGCCAAACCGACGCGGCACUGGUGCUGGGGUGGGACAGGCUGGGGGCAGCUCCCAGCCCCCAGGGCACGUGCCGGUGUCCCCAGGCGUGGCAUGCAGGACCUUGGGGGGAAGCCCCAGGUCCCCAGUCCAUUGUCCCCGGACCCCAGCCCUGCCUCCGCCUGCUGGGAUCAGGCGCUGAGCCCCAGGGCUGGAGCUCCCCGUGCGCCUGCCCCACUCCGCGCGUCCUGGUGCGCGCAGAGCCCCCAGCCCCGAGCCGCGUGCCCACCCCCAGCCCCCCGGAGGUGCCCCCAUCCCCCGGGCCACGGAGAGGAGGAACGAGAGGCAGCGGCAGAGCAGCGGCUUUAUUGGGGGCAGGCGGCGGGGGCAGAGCCGGGGCCGGGCGGACGCGGGGGCUGGGGGCGCCGGGCGCUGUGCGGGGGGCUUCCCGCAACGGAGCCCGUCCCGGGCCGCCGGAGCCCCCGCACCGAGCGUCGAAGCGCCGCUUCUCCGGGGGCUUGCGCCGCCGGGCCUCGCGGAAGCCUCCGGUUUCCUCUUUCCACGCUGGAGGGCAGCAAAGCCCCGCGCUCCGCGUCGAGGUGGCCGGGAGGUGCGGGGACGGGACGCGACGGGACGGGGAUGGAGGGGACAGGAGGGGAUGGGGAUGGAGGGAAUGGGGACGGGACGGGGCGAGAAAGGGGUCCCGACGGAUACGGGGAUGAGGAUGGGUUGGAAGGGGCGUGGGAGAGGAUAAAAGAGGAUGCGAUGGGGAUGGUAUUGGGAGGGGAUGGGGAUGAGGAUGGAAACAAAUGGCGACAGAGAUGA